UUCCUACUCCCUCUGUUUGGAAUUACUUGUCACGGAAAUGGAUGUAUCUAGACGUAUUUUAGUUCUAGAUACAUCCAUUUUUGAGACAAGUAAUUCCGAACGGAGGGAGUACUUA
rnacentral:pre_miRNA from 1 species